rnacentral:rRNA from 1 species
GAGUUUGAUCCUGGCUCAGGAUGAACGCUGGCGGCGUGCUAAUACAUGCAAGUCGAACGAGUUCUGAUUAUUGAAAGGUGCUUGCACCUUGAUUUAAUUUUGAACGAGUGGCGGACGGGUGAGUAACACGUGGGUAACCUGCCCUUAAGUGGGGGAUAACAUUUGGAAACAGAUGCUAAUACCGCAUAAAUCCAAGAACCGCAUGGUUCUUGGCUGAAAGAUGGCGUAAGCUAUCGCUUUUGGAUGGACCCGCGGCGUAUUAGCUAGUUGGUGAGGUAACGGCUCACCAAGGCAAUGAUACGUAGCCGAACUGAGAGGUUGAUCGGCCACAUUGGGACUGAGACACGGCCCAAACUCCUACGGGAGGCAGCAGUAGGGAAUCUUCCACAAUGGACGCAAGUCUGAUGGAGCAACGCCGCGUGAGUGAAGAAGGCUUUCGGGUCGUAAAACUCUGUUGUUGGAGAAGAAUGGUCGGCAGAGUAACUGUUGUCGGCGUGACGGUAUCCAACCAGAAAGCCACGGCUAACUACGUGCCAGCAGCCGCGGUAAUACGUAGGUGGCAAGCGUUAUCCGGAUUUAUUGGGCGUAAAGCGAGCGCAGGCGGUUUUUUAAGUCUGAUGUGAAAGCCCUCGGCUUAACCGAGGAAGUGCAUCGGAAACUGGAAAACUUGAGUGCAGAAGAGGACAGUGGAACUCCGUGUGUAGCGGUGAAAUGCGUAGAUAUAUGGAAGAACACCAGUGGCGAAGGCGGCUGUCUGGUCUGUAACUGACGCUGAGGCUCGAAAGCAUGGGUAGCGAACAGGAUUAGAUACCCUGGUAGUCC